UCUUUUGGUUCGAUUCUAAGAC
rnacentral:miRNA from 1 species